rnacentral:tRNA from 1 species
GCCUGGGGUGCUCAGUCGGUUGAGCGUCCGACUUCGGCUCAGGUCAUGACCUCGCAGUUCAUGGGUUCGAGCCCCAUGUCGGGCU